GACGAACGCUGGCGGCGUGCUUAACACAUGCAAGUCGAACGGUAAGGCCCUUCGGGGUACACGAGUGGCGAACGGGUGAGUAACACGUGGGUGAUCUGCCCUGCACUUCGGGAUAAGCCUGGGAAACUGGGUCUAAUACCGGAUCGGACCACUGCCUGCAGGGGUGGAGGAGGAAAGCUUUUGCGGUGUGGGAUGGGACCGCGGCGUAUCUGCUUGUGGGUGGGGUGAUGGCCUACCAAGGCAACGACGGGUAGCCGGCCUGAGAGGGUGACCGGCCACACUGGGACUGAGAUACGGCCCAGACUCCUACGGGAGGCAGCAGUGGGGAAUAUUGCACAAUGGGCGCAAGCCUGAUGCAGCGACGCCGCGUGAGGGAUGACGGCCUUCGGGUUGUAAACCUCUUUCAGCACCGACGAAGCGCAAGUGACGGUAGGUGCAGAAGAAGGACCGGCUAACUACGUGCCAGCAGCCGCAGUAA
rnacentral:rRNA from 1 species